AUUUGCUCCCAAGCAUCUUAGGAACUUCAUUAUAAUUAGCUAUUCCCUACAGCUACUUGAGUGGGAGCAAGGGCUAGCAAUCCCAUACACAGAUGUGGCGCUGGAAAAAAUCCCAACACUCAUUCAACACCGAGAACCGGAAAACCCUUAAACAGUGCAGGGGAAUGUAUUUUUGACUGACUGUCAUCACUCAGGCUCCUACAAGGUGUUUGAAGAUGAGGGGUGGUGGAGGCCAGUCUGGAUAGAAUGUAAAAGAGACACCAGCCCCAGCUCUCUUCACGCUUGCUUGGUUGCAUUUUCAGCGGUUCCAUUUUCUUGGUGAGCCAGGUUUCUUCAGGAAGAUGCUGACCCCACUGGAAGGUGCUGUUGGCACCAUCGUCGAAAUCUUCCACAAAUAUUUGUACAACGAGCCUCAUCAUGACAGGCUCUCCAAGGGGAACUGAAAUGCCUGAUUCAGAAAGAACUUGGGAACUGGCUGCAGAAUCCAAAUGACCCAUAUCAACUCCAAGGCAUAUUUGAUGACCUGGACAUAAAUAAGGAUCAGGAGGUUAACUUUAAGGAGUAUAUGAUACUGAUAACCACAUUGAUCAUUUGUACCCAUGAGAAAUUCCACGACAAAUAGAAGCACCAUCCCCAUCCUCCAAUGUAACAAGGGAAAGAUCUUAUAAUUUGUAAAGAAGAUGAAUUGACUAGCACAGAUUUCUGUCCACUGUGUUACAGUGAGAUGUGAAUUAUCUGCUUAUAUGACACAUGUAAUGACAUGGGAUAAUCAUAUGAGAUAAUAAGGCUUCAUUAAAGCUCUCAGUUUGUUGUUAUUAUUUGCACUGCAGUAAUGCCUAGAGACGCCAAUCAGGAUCACGGCUUGGGCAUGUCACAGUAAUUGACGGUCCUUGUUCCCCUGACUCUGCGAGCUGAUUUUCAUGAUUAGACCCUGUGACGUUAUUGACAUAAGCUGGGACCGUAUCAAUCAUUGUUGCGACCAAGGUCCUGUAGUGGCACCAAAUCUUGCGUAAAGAGGGUCAAAUAAGGCGUCUAAGACAAGGUUAUGCUUUGCUGGUUGUGAUUAUGCUCUCUAUCUGUGUGCAUCAUUUUUGUAGUUGAAGUUAUGAAUAUUGGCUCUAUACUGUCUGUAUUUCAAAUGUGUGCUGUGCUUCUGGGUGACACCCCAGACACAUUCGUGUCAGCUCUGCCUAGCCUGCUGGAUGGCCCAUUAAGGACCAUCAGCGAUACAACUGACCCACUGAGAGAAGGCAGACAGGCCUGGGGACUCAGCCAGGUGUGCAGGGACCUGCCUAUGGACAGAACUCUGAGGUGUUUCCAGGCCAUGGGAUGGGCAACUUGUCCUUGGGACAAAGAAAGCAGAGACCACAUGGCAAGAGACUAGAAAAAGCUGCAGCAGCUCCUCCACCUUGUCUUCAGUCCUGCUUCUGGCCUCUGGAGGGACUUGGCUACAGACGCAAGCUCUGCACAAAGGACUGAAUGGCCCCUCCCAGCUGGGGAUGUUCUCCAGAGACUUGACUAGAACCUGCAGUUUAUUGCAUCGCUGCUACAAGCCUGAACCAAGAACUUUGCCAUCACUGUGUGUCAUUGAUUCCAUUGAACCCAUUCUAGCUCUCAUC